rnacentral:rRNA from 1 species
AGAACGAACGCUGGCGGCAUGCCUAACACAUGCAAGUCGAACGAGACCUUCGGGUCUAGUGGCGCACGGGUGCGUAACGCGUGGGAAUCUGCCCUUGGGUUCGGAAUAACAGCGAGAAAUUGCUGCUAAUACCGGAUGAUGACGUAAGUCCAAAGAUUUAUCGCCCAAGGAUGAGCCCGCGUAGGAUUAGCUUGUUGGUGAGGUAAGAGCUCACCAAGGCGACGAUCCUUAGCUGGUCUGAGAGGAUGAUCAGCCACACGUGGACUGAGACGACGGCCCAGACUCCGUAGGGAGCAGCGAGGUGGGAAUAUGGACAAGUGGGAGAAACGCCUGACU